CCCAUCCUUCGUUGCCCCUCCCAUCGAUCCCAUCGACCCCCGCCGCCGCCGUCCGAGGGGGAGACGACGCCACCGCCGCCGUCCGAGGGGGAGACGACGCCGCCGCCGCCGCCGCCUCUGCAAAGCAGGGCGGUUUGAAUCCCGCCGCCGCCGAACUCCGGAUCUCCUCGAUCUCAAGCGCCGGCAGCAUCACCUGGAUCUCCUUGAGCCAGGGCCCUCCGCGCGCCAGCACCUUCCCCAUCGCGCGCGAUCUGUCCGCUCCGACACACGGUGAGCGCGCUACCGCCGCCUUGUCACCGACGUCCUGAUCCAUCAGCGGCAAUGGCGGCUCCUUCUGGCGGAUCAAGGCGCGGAGACCCGUGGGAUCCCCUCCUUCGGCAGGACCUCCUCAUCUGAUUGCAUUCUUGCACGGAUAGAGAGUGGAACACCACCUUCAGUUUCUCAUCUGAUCCCACUUGUGGACUCCAUGAAUGAAGCCUGAUGUGUAUCCAACGGCAUGGGAGAUUAAAGAUUUGCAUGAGACUGACGAUUGUGAUUUUGGCCCUGUACUGAAUAAUUUUGGGAGCGACUGGAUGAUGAUGAUUACAAGCCAGGAGGACUGCAUGUGAUGAGUUAAGGCACAAGAACUACGACCAUUUUAGCUCCAGCAGUAAGUACACAACUAAUCAACAAUGCAUUUUCACGACCCAGACUUCUGCAUUCUGGUUGACAGGCUCGCUGGCACAACCACAUAAUCUCAUGCAUUCAAAUUGCUAGCUACACGAAAUAUGCCCAGAUCUACGAGUAGGAAUCCAAGAUUCCUCAUGUAUGUUCAAUUUCCAGAAUAGAAAGAACCAUACCAACAACAUACAUACAUAUUACAGUUCUGCAUUUUAAAUUUGAAGACCAAGGCAAAGCCCGAUCGAUGUAAUUGGAGGCAUUGCAGUCCAAUUGUUCUAUUGUAACCAGACGUGUGACUGAAUACUGCUUCGAACAUGUGAUUCUGCAAAGUUGAGGAAGUUGAGGAAGUAUGGACUCAGAUCCUUUAAGGGUUUGUUUCCAUACUGUGGGACAGCAGGAUCUGAGUCCCACUAUGAGGAAUCAACCUUCAGAGAUCAGCUACCGGCGUCAUACUGCCCCCACAUGAAACAAGAACUUUCUAACCAAGGGCAUACCUACAAGACAGCAGGAAGUCCUCAGGCACGCAUCACACAUUCACAAAAGCAACCUACUCGGGUCCUCCCUGUGCACAUCUGGUGGUGGCUCCUCCUUCUACUUCUUCAUGUGCAGAUCUAUUGGUGGCUCCUCCUCCCCUCCAUAGAUCUUUAUAUUUUGCCAUUGCUAGGAGAUGCAGGUACGUCUUCUGUCCAGAAAGGAUAAAUUGGUGUCCGAUUUGACCACAAGCAUACGAUCUUUGCUCCACAAGGUUGUACUUUGACAAGGCAUGAUGCUCUUUUUUGUUUUUGGCGGGCUGUGAGCUGGAUGUGCUAUUAGUCAUGGUGCCGAGCUUGGAUUGAGGAGACGGAUAGAAGAAGGUCAAUGCGCUUGAGGAGGCGGCAGUAGCACACCUGUGGUCCAAAUCUAGGUGAAUUAUUGUGGCUGAUCUAGAGGCCUGUCUAGAGAACGGCAGGGCCACAACGUUCGUGCAGCGGUGGCUGUACACACCAUCCGGAGGCGAGCAACGGCUGCGCUGGCAGCCGCUUGGAAGGGAAGCGAAGGUCAUGGAGGAGGAGGCUAUGCAUGGCCGAGGAGCAGGUCGUGCGCUGCCGCAGGGACGGGAGAGCCGGCGCCGGCUCCAAGUACGCCAUCAUCCAAGUUGCACUUGGGCUUCCCUCCAGCAGGUCCACACCGUAUCUUAGGUCAUGAUCGGGCUGACAGCGGUUUGUCCACUACACUCGACCAUGUGCUCAGCUGACCUCGAUGCCCAUAUUUUCCUAGACACCAUGGCACGAGUACCAACCUCACAGGCUGAACUGAUGGAUGUUGGUAUUUUGAUCUUGCUAUGUCAAAUAGUAUGAUGUAAUCUAUGGAGCUGAAGCUAUAGCUAGAUCUUGAUCUUACUGUCAUAUCCGUGUCAAGCACAAGCCGGCGCCUCUAUUUCCGGUGAGGCCAACCAUCUAAAAUACCUCCUCCAUCUUAAAUCCAUUGAUAUACUUUUUUGUUACAGGCUUUUUAUAUAUAGAUAUUAGAAUUGGCACUAUUUGGAAAUAUCACUUAACUGUUGGACCCUUUUUGCAGUAUACAUCUUGGCUGGCUUCAACAUAUAGUUUUUUUCUCAAAUUAUGGGUUUUCUUCUUCUCUCUGUUUGUGCAUGGUUUGCUUCUGGUGAUCCGUAAUGUCAGCGGUGUUGCUGCUUCUAACUUCUACUGAUCCAUAACAAGUGCAUACUAUUUCGUUUGGAUGGAUCUUUAUAUAUUUCACAUUUAGUAGAAAAGUUUAGUAUGUGAACAGAUGGUACUAUUGCGGAUUCUUUAACAUUUUCAUGUCUGAUGGCAUGAACUUAUCCAUAGUAGGUACAUGCAAAGGAACUUGACAAGAGAACAAUACACUUUUGAACAAGGCUAAUUUGUUACCUUUAAAUAUCAGGUCCACACCACACACACACACACACCGUAAAAGAGAGAUUUAUAUGUAUCUUUUGCAGGAUUGACAGCACACGAUGAGAAGAAGACAUGGUUUACCUCAGAGCUGGGGACUACAGAGGAUAGCGUCUUUGUGAAUUCAGAUAAGAAUAAUAUUGUAAGAGGGCAAGGUAUCAUGUAUACAAUCAAGCAUUGCAAAGGACUAGCUACUGCCUUGUUUAUUUUUUUAUGAUUGCCCAAAAUUUUCUUACUAGAAUUUUGAGAAGUUUGGCCAUCAGUUCUACUGCUUGGUCAUUUUAUAUAUCAUGUUGUAGUCUUUCUUUUAAUACAAGGUAAUAUUAAUACCAUCCAUGUACUUUUGUGUUUGCUGUCCAGUACAUGGUGACUAAUUUUCAUAUACAUUUUGUUUCAUAUUAUCCAUGAAUAUGUUUUUUGUGCUAAAACAAAAAUAUGGGGGACUGGUCAGCAUGCUAGGUCAGAGCAAAGCAAAAACCCAUAUAAAUGAGUCCCAAGGAGCAAAGAUCAUUAUGUAGAAUAGAACAUUUUUGCUCCAUGAAACCUUCUGGGCUCCAUAAAUUGUGUUUUUGUGCUCAUGCUUGUGCACAUUCUAUAAUUUUGAUUCGUUGUUCAGGCAUUUGGAGUUCACAGUUAUCUAAGUUUCUAUUAUGUGUGUUUUCGAAGAAUUUGAUACUUUACAGUCUUUCUAUUAUAUUAUCUUUGAAUCUACUUAGAAUAGAUUAGUAGUAUGAUAUAGUGAAGUAAUCUAAUUCAAUUUCCUUUUUUAUUGCAACCACUUAAUUUCAAUUGGGUCAAAAUAAAAAAGUCGAAGACAAUUUUUUUCAGCCAUAAGUAGAACACCAGAGCUAAUUGAUACACCAUUUUGAAAAUUGAUACACUGUUGCAGGGAGAGCACCGCACGCAACAGUGGUCAAGGGCUUAGUGUCUGUUGACCUCGUCCGUGGCCGCUGUUGGUCGGUGAAGGAGGCAUGCAUGAGGUGGUGCAAGGGCAUGCUGGUGACGGAGUCGCGCAUCAUGAGGCCGGGUGAGUAACGCUCGGGAACUGCCGGGCGCUCAGACUGACGCGGGAUGGGGUUGGCGCGGUGACUCAAGGAGGAGGAUGUAGUUAUGGGGGAGGGAGUGACGACGGAGGGGCUUCGAUGGCCCGACGAAACCCUACAUCAUAAUCAAGGAGGACCCUACAUCUAAAGGAAACAGAGCAGUCUAUAUCAUUAGUCUAUUACUGGAUUUCUAGAAGGAAAAAGGGAUAAAUGGUUGUUUCUGCUACUCUACAUUUGCUUUAAAAUUGGUGUACAUAUAUCAAGAAGAACUUGGUUGCAAAAGUGAUCAAACAUAAGAGAAAACACAAACACAUUGGUUUUGUAAUUAAAUGCCUAAGAUCUUAUAAUUUUGAAUUAAAUUGUUUGAUUAUACAA